rnacentral:rRNA from 1 species
GUUGUCCGGAAUUACUGGGCGUAAAGAGCUCGUAGGUGGUUUGUCGCGUUGUUCGUGAAAUCUCACGGCUUAACUGUGAGCGUGCGGGCGAUACGGGCAGACUUGAGUACUGCAGGGGAGACUGGAAUUCCUGGUGUAGCGGUGGAAUGCGCAGAUAUCAGGAGGAACACCGGUGGCGAAGGCGGGUCUCUGGGCAGUAACUGACGCUGAGGAGCGAAAGCGUGGGGAGCGAACAGGAUUAGAUACCCUGGUAGUCCACGCCGUAAACGGUGGGUACUAGGUGUGGGUUUCCUUCCUUGGGAUCCGUGCCGUAGCUAACGCAUUAAGUACCCCGCCUGGGGAGUACGGCCGCAAGGCUAAAACUCAAAGAAAUUGACGGGGGCCCGCACAAGCGGCGGAGCAUGUGGAUUAAUUCGAUGCAACGCGAAGAACCUUACCUGGGUUUGACAUGCACAGGACGCCGGCAGAGAUGUCGGUUCCCUUGUGGCCUGUGUGCAGGUGGUGCAUGGCUGUCGUCAGCUCGUGUCGUGAGAUGUUGGGUUAAGUCCCGCAACGAGCGCAACCCUUGUCUCAUGUUGCCAGCGGGUAAUGCCGGGGACUCGUGAGAGACUGCCGGGGUCAACUCGGAGGAAGGUGGGGAUGACGUCAAGUCAUCAUGCCCCUUAUGUCCAGGGCUUCACACAUGCUACAAUGGCCGGUACAAAGGGCUGCGAUGCCGCGAGGUUAAGCGAAUCCUUUUAAAGCCGGUCUCAGUUCGGAUCGGGGUCUGCAACUCGACCCCGUGAAGUCGGAGUCGCUAGU